rnacentral:rRNA from 1 species
UACGUAGGGUGCAAGCGUUAAUCGGAAUUACUGGGCGUAAAGCGUGCGCAGGCGGUUUUGUAAGUUUGUCGUGAAAGCCCCGGGCUCAACCUGGGAAUUGCGAUGAAGACUGCAAGGCUUGAAUCCGGCAGAGGGGGGUAGAAUUCCACGUGUAGCAGUGAAAUGCGUAGAGAUGCGGAGGAACACCGAUGGCGAAGGCAGCCCCCCUGGGCUGACACUGACGCUCAGGCACGAAAGCGUGGGGAGCAAACAGG